CCCAGUGAAGCCUGACCUGGAGUAGGCUUGCAGGGAGGCCCCAAGCAAGCAAGCAAACAAGCAAGGAGGCAGGUAGGCAGAGUGGCCCCCACAGCUCUCUGCAGCAGACCCUCUGCCCAGCCCAGCAUUUGCCAGUUGCAGCAGCAAGUCAGCUCUGUUUCCAGGUCUGCUGAGCGAGCGACGAAAUCCGAUCAGCAAGAAGAAACUCACAUACCACCAAACUCCAACUGUUGGGUUUUCGCUGGGAUUCUGGGAAGACGUCUCUUCCUAGCGCGGUAGAUAGCAUAGCAGAGGGCACAGGAUUCUGAAGGAAGCCCUUUAAAGCUCAGCUCCUCCUCCUGGUUGCUUCUGCUCUUGUGUUCACCAGACCCAAAAACUUUACAGCUGUUGUUGCCAUGCUGUUCUCUCUGUUGCUAUGAUCUGAAAGGUUUGAGUGUUUGCCAGACCAUGAUUCUCUCAAACGAACAGUAAUAAUGUUCAUUCCACAUGUAUUCCUUCCUCAGCAACAUGUGGACUGGUCUAGUCCUAGCCCUAGACAUUUUUUCAGAGCCGGCAACUAAACCUUGUUGAGAAGCUUACCCUCCCCCAUUCUACCAACAACAUCUCUUGAAUAGUUCUUCCCUUCACAUCUAUACAAACUUCUUGGCUCUUGGAAGAAGAAAGGUAGAAAGUGAACUAUCAAAUUUAUGGUGAGUUUUACAGUACAGCAGUAUAUGCA